rnacentral:rRNA from 1 species
UACGGAGGGUGCAAGCGUUAAUCGGAAUUACUGGGCGUAAAGGGUGCGUAGGUGGUUGAUUAAGUUAUCUGUGAAAUCCCUGGGCUUAACCUGGGCAGGUCAGAUAAGACUGGUUGACUCGAGUAUGGGAGAGGGUAGUGGAAUUUCCGGUGUAGCGGUGAAAUGCGUAGAGAUCGGAAGGAACACCAGUGGCGAAGGCGGCUACCUGGCCCAAUACUGACACUGAGGCACGAAAGCGUGGGGAGCAAACAGGAUUAGAUACCCUGGUAGUCCACGCUGUAAACGAUGUCAACUAGCUGUUGGGUAUAUGAAUGUACUUAGUGGCGAAGCUAACGCGAUAAGUUGACCGCCUGGGGAGUACGGUCGCAAGAUUA